rnacentral:rRNA from 1 species
GACGAACGCUGGCGGCGUGCUUAAUGAAUGCGAGUCGAGCGAGAACCAGACGGUUGAUUCCUUCGGGAUGAUGCCAUCUGGGGAGAGCGGCGAACGGGUGAGUAACACGUGGGUAACCUGCCCUUCAGACGGGGAUAACCCACCGAAAGGUGGCCUAAUACCCGAAGUGAGCUACUGACACAAGUUGGUAUCUCUAAAGGCUCCGGUGCUGAAGGAUGGGCUCGCGGCCGAUUAGCUAGUUGGUGAGAUAACAGCUCACCAAGGCAACGAUCGGUAGCCGGUCUGAGAGGAUGUCCGGCCACACUGGGACUGAGACAUGGUCCAGACUCCUACGGGAGUUAGCAUCAGGGAAUAUUGCACAAUGGACGAAAGUCCGAUGCAGCGACGCCGCGUGGGUGAUGAAGGCCUGCGGGUCGUAAAGCCCUGUCAGGAGGGAAGAAAGCCGCUUUUUGCGGUCUGACAGUACCUCCAGAGGAAGCCCCGGCUAAUUACGUGCCAGCAGCCGCGGUAAAACGUAAGGGGCGAGCGUUGUCCGGAAUUACUGGGCGUAAAGAGCACGUAGGCGGCGUGGUAAGCGGCGGGUGAAAGCCUCCGGCUCAACCGGGGAACGGCUUGCCGAACUGCUCAGCUAGAGCGCGGGAGAGGGCAGUGGAAUUCCUGGUGUAGCGGUGGAAUGCGUAUAUAUCAGGAGGAACACCGGUGGCGAAGGCUGCUGCCUGGAACGCUGCUGACGCUGAGGUGCGAAAGCUAGGGGAGCAAACAGGAUUAGAUACCCUGGUAGUCCUAGCUGUAAACGAUGGACACUAGGUGUCGGGGGCUUGACCCCCCCGGUGCUGUUAAGCUAACGCGUUAAGUGUCCCGCCUGGGGAGACGGUCGCAAGGCU